rnacentral:rRNA from 1 species
CCUACGGGAGGCAGCAGUGGGGAAUUUUGGACAAUGGGCGCAAGCCUGAUCCAGCAAUGCCGCGUGAGUGAAGAAGGCCUUCGGGUUGUAAAGCUCUUUUGUCAGGGAAGAAACGGCUGAGGAUAAUACCUUUGGCUAAUGACGGUACCUGAAGAAUAAGCACCGGCUAACUACGUGCCAGCAGCCGCGGUAAUACGUAGGGUGCAAGCGUUAAUCGGAAUUACUGGGCGUAAAGCGUGCGCAGGCGGUUUUGUAAGUCUGACGUGAAAUCCCCGGGCUCAACCUGGGAAUUGCGUUGGAGACUGCAAGGCUGGAGUCUGGCAGAGGGGGGUAGAAUUCCACGUGUAGCAGUGAAAUGCGUAGAGAUGUGGAGGAACACCGAUGGCGAAGGCAGCCCCCUGGGUCAAGACUGACGCUCAUGCACGAAAGCGUGGGGAGCAAACAGGAUUAGAUACCCUGGUAGUCCACGCCCUAAACGAUGUCUACUAGUUGUCGGGUCUUAAUUGACUUGGUAACGCAGCUAACGCGUGAAGUAGACCGCCUGGGGAGUACGGUCGCAAGAUUAAAACUUAAAGGAAUUGACGG